GGGUGGGCGGGUCCUGGUUUCCCAAGGGCUACAGGAAACGUUUAGAACUCCAUCCUGGCUGCGCUCGGGCUGAACCUUUUGUGCCACUGGGGUUUUCUCUCUCUUGGUGGAGAUACCAAGUCCACUGUAGCCCCGAGCCUGAGCCCAAGCCCCAGCAACGGUGGCAUCGGCAAUGGAGACAAUUGAGACAAUUGAUUCUUUCCUGCCAUGGAAAGCUCAGAGGUAGGUGGUCCCAGCAGGAGGAGCAGAGACUCAGGGACAGCAAAGACUCAGCCUCUUGCCACCUUUCUGCUCUGCCUUUCUUAGGAGGUCUCCAAGUCUCCCCUCAUGGUGGCAAGAAGGUUGCCACAAUUCUAAGAAUCAUGCCCUCACAUAGCAGAGAGCUGGAUCAGAAGAGGAGCAACUGGGUCUCGAACCGGUGCCCAUAUGGGAUGCCGGCGCUUCAGGUCAGGGUAUUAACCCUCUGCGCCACAGCAUUGGCCCCUCCUAUGAACUUUUUGAAGUUCUCUUAUACCAGUGCCCCUUCCACGUGGGCAGGGAGGGGACUGGGGGAGGGGUGGGAACAAGAGCCCCUGAGUGCAAGGCUUGCACCUGUGCACACACACACAGCUGGUCGGGAGCCCACAAUCGUCAUGUCAGCCCAGGCUUGGUCAGGGUGGGGAACGCCAAGCACCCGAAGUUUUUUCCUCCUCAAUUGGAACUGACACUUCCCCACGACAGGAUUACUUUGAAAUCAAGAAAUCACAGCGCAGAUAGUUCAUAAAGUUAUUUCUGUCCCACCUUGCAGCAUGGAUUACAGAGGCAGAUCAGCCGAAGCGUAUGGGCGUUCUGCCUGUGGGCCCCCGUUUUAUUGCCGUCACCUUUGAGAUCGGGGGUGUGGUUAGCUGGGUGGGGGUAGCUCGCAGGGGAUGGGGGAUGUAGCUGAGCAGGUCUGAGGGUCUCAAGCUCGCACGGACCCUACCUGAUGCCUACUCUACCCAGCCCCCUCCAGGAAGGGUCUGGGCAAGCAUAUCACGUGUCCUGGGGGAAAAGGUGCAGAGGGCAUUGGGUAAAAAGCACCAGAAAGGUCACAUCCAAGAGUAUUAGCUGGGGAUGGUUAGUCUCUCCUGUCCCUGCCGCCUGCAGUCAUCCAUGGGGACAGGUGUGGAACAUGAGCGAUUAUCAGCCCAGGAAUCCAGGAGAGGCAUCCAGGACUUGGGGAGGCUUAAAGCUGCCGGUCGUUGUGUAUGUAAAAAAGAGAAGGCAGUGAAGGAGGUUUAUUUGUCAUGCCAGCAUUUUCCUUACUGGAGGCUGACUGUGGCUGAGGAUGAGGACCCAACAAUGAAUGAGCCUUGUCCUCCAGAAGCUCCCAGGCUCAUGGGGUCAUUGAGUUGAGAGCCAGGACAGGAUGCGUCCAGGGUGCUGUGAGUGUAUUGUAGAGGGCUUCCUGGAGGAGGUGUAAUCUGAGCUGGCUUGUGCUUAGGAGGCCUCUUGGACGUGAGACUGCCUCCCAGGUAGUUGGAUCUGGAUUACCGAGACAAGAAAGAAGGCAGGUCCAGGCUGAACCCACUCUAAGAAUGACAGGUAUGGGACUGACAGGUUAGCGAGGUGGUUCGGAGUCGCCCUGGGUUGACAUUCUGGCCUUGUCCUUUGGCAGCUCUGUGAUCUUAACCGUUCCACGUCUCAGUGUCUUGCUAUGGAAAGAGCAGGCACACACAGCUCACUUCACAGAGGAGAGGACCAAAUGAGAACAUCCACGUCACAGGCGAGGAUGGUGCUGACACGCUGCGAGGGCACCCAAGAGCCCAGCGCUGUCCCCGUGGCAGAGCCUGACCUUGUGCCGGUCUUUCCGAGGCGACGAGGGGCUGAGGGACACCCCAGCCCCACUCUUGGGUUCCUGGGGCCCCCACCACACAGAGACUUAAGGACAGCUUCUUGCGGGUGACAGAAGGCCAGCAGGGUGUUUGCACAUCCGUCACCUGUUGAGCGGAGGAGCCCUAGUGCCUGUUGGCUUCCAUGUGAAGUUAGAUGGUGCAGAGCCCAGUCUACCUGGUGCAACCAGGACAAUGAACUUGCAAGUGGCUUAAGGAGCCUGACCCACGUCCCACACAGAGAUCACUGAAGAGAAGGGGCCUGAACUCAGGCCUCCUCCACCACAAGCCCAAGGCCCCUGAUGACCUGUCUGCCUUCCUGGAGUCUCCUGCCUGGCUGGCCAGCCGAGCUGGACUGAAUUCAUGGAGCCAGCCAGGCUCAGAGGCAGAAAAUGUCGUCUGGAGAAUUUUCUUGGAUGUUUGCUUUGAAUAUCAAAGCUCUUUUUAGACUUAAGGGGCAGAUGCUAAGGGACGGAUUCACUUAGGCUUCUCUGGCAGUGGGAGAACAGGGGCUGUGAAGCCGGAGCCCUGAGGGACCCGUAGGAGAGGGAAGCCAAGCCCUGGCCCUCUGAUGGGUGUGAAUGGGAACUUGACUUCGCAUUUUAACCCCGCUCAGCUGUUCAUCCAAGGAAAGCUGCAGCCGAGGAUUACAGAAAAUCGGUAGCUGGUAUUAUUAAUGCUAGCCAAAGCAGCCGUUUGCACAGCAAGUAAUUGGUGGUGUUGUCUUCUAAUGGACAGGCGCUUCUAUUAUUUAAGUACGAAUUAAUUCAUGUACUAGGCAAUGUAUUGGUUUUUACGUAGGGUCUCAUGGCAGUCCUCUAAGCUCAUUCCCUCUUCUUGCCUUUGGGUAAUUAAAAUGCACCAUUUAACUGCUCUGUGCGUGGGACUGCAUCCCCUAGGAGAGCAUGAAAGGGGCCAUGUGGAAGCCCUGGUCGUGCCAGUCUGGCGCUUUGCUUACCAGGAGAAUUUCCAGAACACCCCUUCCUGAUCCAUGCAUGCAGUCUUCCCAUAUCGUUGGCCUCCUUUGGCCCGUCGGUAAAAGGGCAAGUUUGCAAAGCCCGUGCCUGUAGCUGAGCUUUGACAGCAACGACCUGGCAGCUCCUGGCUCCUGUGCAGCAGACAAGUCUCCUGGGCAAGUCCUUUUCCCCCUCCGGGGUCGCUGAAGGCCUCCCAGGGCAUCUAGAAUGCUUGGGGCUCUGCAUUUGAAUGAGCCGAUGGACUCAGUGACCCUGGAUCCUUGCAGGUGUGUUGAAGGUUCUGACCACUGCAAGCAGCAAAGGGUUCAUGGGCCAGGAUCAUUGGAGGAUGCGCUGCCGGCAGACGCGCGCUGCCUGUUCCCAUUUAGUGUCUCUGCAUCGCCCUGCAGGCUGAGUGUCGCUGCUUGGCUCCUUCCAGCCCUUCUGACCACAGCCUGCACAUCAAACACGGUCUGCUGGACCUCAGCUGAGGCUCUAGGCUGUUCUACAGGAUACUCCAGAGUGUUUUUCCACACUUAGUUACAAGAUGAGAGUAAUCGCAGUCCAGUUUUUGGACACGUUAAAUUUGUGUGUGUGUGUGGUUUUUUUUUUUUUUUUUUUUUUGUCUCAGGAAGAUGAGAGAAGGCCUUGAUGGGCUUUCAGCCUCACCUCUCGAGGUCAGGGUUGAAAGCCAUGUGUGGGAAAAACAACUUUAAGAUGCACAAGUGGUGGACCGCAAUGGCUGACGUAUGGCUGUGCGUGCCAGUUGCUUUCAGCAACCUUGAGAGGUCAAAAUUAUGGAUUUGAGCUGCCUGCAAUUCCAUUAGUCCCAGCGUCAACCAUCUAUCUUGCAAAUGAAUGUUAGUGGUUGCACUUGCUCUGAACAUACUGGUGCUGGGUUCCCGUUGGCCGCGGUGCGCCUUCCUCGCCCUCUCGGACCUACGGAUACCUGACCCACCGCUGGGAAGGCUAAGUCUUCCGCCACGAGAAGUCGUAUUUGCCUGCCAAAUCCUGAUUUCCAGAUGUAUUCGCCAAUGGCUCUGCUGUCAUCCUGCCGAUCAGAUCCGACGACAGAUCCUGAAUCUCCCUCAAACGUGUGUGCACAGUUGUGAGCACAGUGUCCUGAGUUAGGGCCAUGGACAGCACCUCCCGGGCCGCUCCACACCAUUUGGAAGAGGUCAAAGAAGCAGACGUGGGUACAUUUUCAAUAAGAAAACAGGGGACCAAAGGACCACCCAAAAUAUCGACUUUGGAAUUCCUCUCUGUUGCAAGUCAUUAAGAAAUAAUGCAGAAUGUAAAAGACCUGAGACUCAGGAACUCCAGUGGCCAGCGGAAGUGGAAAAUGGAUCUCCUCACUCAGGAAGAGAGAAUUCACCCUUUCUCCACUUUUUUGUCUAUUCAGAACCAUCCCUGAGCGAAUCAGGCAACCUGCCGUGGCAUCCAGUUGGUUCCCGCGAUCCUUUCAUCUUCCAGGUUGUUUGGCUUUAAAGGCAGCCUCCCCCGGGGGAAGGGAAGAGAGAUGCGCUGAGUGGACAUUCAGGAAAUAGAGGAGAGCACUCCACCUGCGAGUAGAGCCACCGCUACGUUUGAGCCGCUCAAUCCGUGCAGAUCCGAGAUGCUCUGGCUUCCGGAGGCACGCGACCCCGCACUGACAGUCUUCAACCAAGCAACAACAGGAAGCAGAUCUGCUCGCCCAGGACGAGGGGAGAGGGGCACUGGGCUGCACUGCGCUGCCGGCUGCUUCCCCGGUGUAGUCAGCUGCGCCCCUGGCCGCUGCCUCUUGGAGACAGGGGCUGAAUUAUUGAUGGCAUUAAAAAGGUGAGUUUGGGGAUGGCCUGUUGUUUGUCAGGUAACUAUCACUUCCUGUGCGAGAGUCCAGCUUUCAUCUCAGGUGUGUGGAGCCCAGGCAAGCAGCCGGGGAGCUCCCCUUGGGGAACGCGCUGCGAUCCUGGCUCCCUUUGAUCUGCUGUCUUCCCAGACGCAGCCCAGAGACCUCCCGACGUCCCCCUCGGCCCUGUUUUAUCGCCCACUGUGGAGCACACCCGAGUCGGGCUCUUCCCAGCCUAGAUUCACACUCCCCUCCUGGAACUUACUAUUGUCAGAGCGCGGAACCCCUUAGGGCCCCCCAAGAGGCAGACUCGCUUACACACUGCCCUCUGCUGGACACUGUUGGGACUGCCCUUUCCUCCCCGGGGCUUAAACAGAUCCUCGGUUGUCAGUGCCUUAAUAUAUCUGUCUGGGUGGUAGACAUCAGUGCAUUUCAGAAAGUUUGCAGAAAAUGGAAUUAAACGAUAGGUUUAUUUGGAUACAAAAAGCUUCAAUAUCCAUGCAUACAACAGGUCUUACAAAGUUCAUGGAGAUGCAUAUUGUUUAAGAAACUAUGUAUGGAUUUCAAUUUUUUUUGCACCAAAAUAAACUUACCUUUUAAUGAUCCCUUCCACAAACUUCUGAAGUACCUCCAUCACCUGCAACACAGGCAGGGAAGUUACUCACCUAGAAAACUUCUCAUUACCCAAAUAGAUGCAAAAAAUAGGGUAUGAUGCAGGAAAUCUGUUUUUCAUGAUUUGACAUAGAAAACAACCUCUGAACAAGGUCAAAAUCUAAACCACUCUUGAAUCUGAUUACAUCAAAAACAAGCGUUUCUAUCUGACAGAGGCAUUUGCAAAGUUAAAAGACAAAAGAAUAAAAAACUUGCAACAAAGGAUCAGUAGCUAGACUAUAUAAAGAACCUCCACAGAUCAAAAAGAAGGUGAAAAUGAUCUAAUCAAAAUGAUUCUGAAGCUAUAAAAUGACAAUUCACAGAAAAGUAAUGCAAGUGGCCCACAAAUGGGUGACAAAAAUGCUCAGUUUUACCAGUGAUAAGGUAAAUGGAAAUUCUAGCAUGGAGAGAUACCUUUACUUUCCCCCACUCAAUUGAAAAAAAGUCAAAGGCUACAGGAAAAGAGAUAUUUCCAUACCUCUAGUUAGGAGAGUAACAUGGACAUAAUUACUGUGCAGAGGUACUUGGCAGUGUCUAUUGGAAAAGUAAACGGGGGCUGGCCUUGUGGCACCAUGGGUUAAGCUGCUGCUUCUGAUGCCCAUUAGCGUGCCAUUUCCAGCCCUGGCUGCUCUGCUUCUGAUCCAACUCCCUGCUAAUGCACCUGCGAAGACAGCAAAGGAUGGCCCAAGUGCUGGGCCCCCUGCCACCCAUCUGGGAUACCUGGAUGGAGCUAUUGGCUCUUGGCUUUGGCCACUACAGCCAUUUAAUGAGGGGAUCAGUGAAUAGAAGACUUCUCUCUCUCUCUCUCUCUCUCUCCCUCACUGCCCCCUCCUUCUUCUGUGUCAUGCUGCCUUUCAAAUAAAUAAAAUGAGUCUUUUUAAAAAUGUAACUUGUUCAUGCUGUACAAUCCAGAGAUUCCACUACUCUGUAUCUACUCCAGACAUGCACUCAUCCAUGUGCUCACAAGGUACAUAUGAGCACAUUCGUGGCAGUUUUCUUUAGAAAAAUAACAAAAUCUGUUUACUCAGGGAAUAACUUAAAUGGCCAUGAAAAUGGGAUUGGUUAAGUAAACUGUGCUUCAUUCAUACACAUACACACACACAUAAAACACAGUUUUUAGAAUAUAAACUAUAUAUAUGGACAUAGAAGGAUCUCCGAGACCUACGUUGAGUGAACAAGAAGCCAGAUGUGUGGACACUCCCCAGGAGGGCCUGCGAGGCACUGUACCCUGGGUAGGACACAUCACUCCAUCAGUGCGCGGCCUCUGCAGCAGAGUCCAGGGGUGGAGCUGGGGGCCAAAGGAGCAUGCAGUCUUACUUGUAUAUUUAAUUUGUCUACAAAGAGAAAAUACUCAUGUUACAUGUGUAAUGAAAGCUGAUCAAAGCUCCUCUUACAUUAAAAAGGAGAAAAUCUUUCUUCAUCCUUUGAAAGCACUCAGUGCUCAGGGAAUCAGUGAGCUAUAAGCAAACCAGUGCCAUGGGUGAUCUGUCGGGGCGCCUGCUAGGAGGAGGGCACCUGGUUGUCAUGGAGAUGGCUGCCCUGUGCAUCUUUCUAUACGUGUCAGGUUGCCACCAGUUUCCUAUUCAGUGUUACUUUUAAAUUGCGGCUCACAAACACAACACUUCCUGGAGACCGUCAAUGUUGAAAUGUCAUACACAUCCAAACUUGCUCAUCCUCACCCCACCAGAUGGAGUUACUUAGGCUUGUAGGCAGCAAGUGGUCUGUCCAAACUCGGUUAACUGACAGGUGGUGGGGUUUGUCCCUAACCCCAGAGACCACGCUUUCAGCCAUUUAAACUGCAAGUAUGACAAAGUCAUUAACAUCUUUAUAAUCUCGUGAGCUUCAAAAUAUCAGCUUCCUGUCAGGAGGAAGGCUUGCACGUGACGGGUACCAUUCCCAUUUGUCACGUCUCUCUGGGUCAGAAGGACAGCUGGUUCACCCUGGGAGGGGAAUCUACCACAGGAAGACGUGCUAUUCAAACCCCUGUACAACCGGGAUGCUCACAGACAAACAUGCACCCAAAUGCCAAUGAAGUGUUUGGGAAUAACAUUCACCCCGACUAGUCCAAAUACGGCCAACGCAAAUGUUAGAAACGAAGUUCACCAGUAACAUAUUGCAAAGGCUGAGGUUUGACAACACUAUAAACCGUAGAAAAUUCUCAUAGGAUGCCGUUUAUUCCAUGCUCCAAAUUCUGGAAGUUUCUCAAGUCAACUUGAAAUUCAUUCCAGUGAUGUAGCCCUGCUCUCAUGGCUGACCCAUUCCUCCAGGC